AGUGAACGCUGGCGGUAGGCCUAACACAUGCAAGUCGAACGGCAGCACAGUAAGAGCUUGCUCUUACGGGUGGCGAGUGGCGGACGGGUGAGGAAUACAUCAGAAUCUACUUUUUCGUGGGGGAUAACGUAGGGAAACUUACGCUAAUACCGCAUACGACCUACGGGUGAAAGCAGGGGAUCUUCGGACCUUGCGCGAUUGAAUGAGCCGAUGUCGGAUUAGCUAGUUGGCGGGGUAAAGGCCCACCAAGGCGACGAUCCGUAGCUGGUCUGAGAGGAUGAUCAGCCACACUGGAACUGAGACACGGUCCAGACUCCUACGGGAGGCAGCAGUGGGGAAUAUUGGACAAAGGGCGCAAGCCUGAUCCAGCCAUACCGCGUGGGUGAAGAAGGCCUUCGGGUUGUAAAGCCCUUUUGUUGGGAAAGAAAAGCAGCAGGUUAAUACCCCGCUGUUCUGACGGUACCCAAAGAAUAAGCACCGGCUAACUUCGUG
rnacentral:rRNA from 1 species